AGAACGAACGCUGGCGGCAGGCCUCAAACAUGCAAGUCUAGGGGGUGUAGCAAUACAUCACCGGCGGACGGGUGCGUAACACGUGGGAAUAUACCUUUUGGUUCGGAACAACGCAGGGAAACUUGCGCUAAUACCGAAUGUGCCCUUACGGGGAAAGAUUUAUCGCCAAAGGAUUAGCCCGCGUAGGAUUAGCUAGUUGGUGAGGUAAUGGCUCACCAAGGCUCCGAUCCUUAGCUGUUCUGAGAGGAAGAUCAGCCACACUGGGACUGAGACACGGCCCAGACUCCUACGGGAGGCAGCAGUUGGGAAUCUUGGACAAUGGGGGAAACCCUGAUCCAGCCAUGCCGCGUGAGUGAUGAAGGCCUUCGGGUUGUAAAACUCUUUCGACGGGGACAGUAAUGACGGUACCCGUAGAAGAAGCUCCGGCUAACUUCGUGCCAGCAGCCGC
rnacentral:rRNA from 1 species